AGCUUUGCGCAGUGGCGGUACCAUAGCCAAUGAGGAAAAUCCAAGGAGUGGUUAUUGCUAGUUGAAAACUAUUCCCCAAUACCCCGCGCUGGCGGUCUGAAAUACGAUCGCCGGUCGCUUUUUUUGGAUGCUCUUACGGGAG